rnacentral:rRNA from 1 species
CCUACGGGAGGCAGCAGUGGGGAAUAUUGCGCAAUGGAGGAAACUCUGACGCAGCGACGCCGCGUGAGUGAAGAAGUCUCUAGGGAUGUAAAACUCUGUCGGGAGGAACGAUAAUGACGGUACCUCCAGAGGAAGCCCCGGCUAACUACGUGCCAGCAGCCGCGGUAAUACGUAGGGGGCAAGCGUUAUCCGGAUUUAUUGGGCAUAAAGGGCGCGUAGGUGGUUUAUUAAGUCAGGAUGUUAAAGUCAGGAGCUCAACUCCUGUUCGCAUUUGAAACUGAUGAACUAGAGAUCAGGAGAGGAAAGCGGAACUCACAGUGUAGCGGUGAAAUGCGUAGAUAUUGUGAGGAACACCAGUUGCGAAGGCGGCUUUCUGGACUGAUUCUGACACUGAGGCGCGAAAGCGUGGGGAGCAAACAGGAUUAGAUACCCUGGUAGUCCACGCUGUAAACGGUGUUCACUAGGUGUAGAGGGUAUCGACCCCUUCUGUGCCACAGAUAAUUACGUUAGUAGACCGCCGUGGAGUACGACGCGAAGUAAACGUACAAGAAGUAGACGCGNGAGAGNGCGACGGACGACGACGAGGAGAGG